rnacentral:piRNA from 1 species
UAGAAUUGACAAGUUGGGAUU